CGGAGGGGCUAGCGUUGUUCGGAAUUACUGGGCGUAAAGCGUACGUAGGCGGCUUUGUAAGUUAGAGGUGAAAGCCUGGAGCUCAACUCCAGAACUGCCUUUAAGACUGCAUCGCUUGAAUCCAGGAGAGGUGAGUGGAAUUCCGAGUGUAGAGGUGAAAUUCGUAGAUAUUCGGAAGAACACCAGUGGCGAAGGCGGCUCACUGGACUGGUAUUGACGCUGAGGUACGAAAGCGUGGGGAGCAAACAGGAUU
rnacentral:rRNA from 1 species